rnacentral:misc_RNA from 1 species
AAACCAUCAAGCCUAGCUUGGUAUUGGACGCGGUCGAUAGACCCGUCCGUAACCCGUUGGCGGUACGGUCCGGCUUCAAGCGUAGCAAAAUUCAUCGCUUCAGGAGUCCGUACGGUACCCGCCAGGCAAUUGGCCACCUCUAAA